CCCAGACUCCUACGGGAGGCAGCAGUGGGGGAUAUUGCACAAUGGGGGAAACCCUGAUGCAGCGACACCGCGUGGGUGAGGAAGCGCUUCGGCGUGUAAAGCCCUAUCAGUGGGGAAGAAAAAGGACGGUACCCAAAGAAGAAGCACCGGCUAAAUACGUGCCAGCAGCCGCGGUAAUACGUAGGUGGCAAGCGUUGUCCGGAUUUACUGGGUGUAAAGGGCGUGUAGCCGGGCUGACAAGUCAGAUGUGAAAUCCGGGGGCUCAACCCCCGAACUGCAUUUGAAACUGUUGGUCUUGAGUAUCGGAGAGGCUGGCGGAAUUCCUAGUGUAGCGGUGAAAUGCGUAGAUAUUAGGAGGAACACCAGUGGCGAAGGCGGCCUGCUGGACGACAACUGACGGUGAGGCGCGAAAGCGUGGGGAGCAAACAGGAUUAGAUACCCCUGUAGCC
rnacentral:rRNA from 1 species